rnacentral:tRNA from 1 species
UCCCGGGUGGCUUGGAUGGUAAAGCGUCUGCCUGAAAUGUGGGAGACUCAGGUUCGAUCCCUGGGUCAGGAA